GGCCGGAUGGUGUAGUUGGUUAUCACAUUCCCUUUACAAUGUGUCUCUUAGAGAUGUACUUGAAAUCGGGAAAGGUCCUGGGAUCGUGCCCCAGUCUGGUCA
rnacentral:tRNA from 1 species